UACGGAGGGUGCUAGCGUUGUUCGGAAUUACUGGGCGUAAAGCGCGCGUAGGCGGCUUUGUAAGUUAGAGGUGAAAGCCCGGGGCUCAACUCCGGAACUGCCUUUAAGACUGCAUCGCUUGAAUCCAGGAGAGGUGAGUGGAAUUCCGAGUGUAGAGGUGAAAUUCGUAGAUAUUCGGAAGAACACCAGUGGCGAAGGCGGGUCUCUGGGCCGUAACUGACGCUGAGGAGCGAAAGCAUGGGGAGCGAACAGG
rnacentral:rRNA from 1 species